CGGAGCACGUGAAAUUCCGUCGGAAUCUGGGAGGACCAUCUCCUAAGGCUAAAUACUCUCUAGUGACCGAUAGUGAACCAGUACCGUGAGGGAAAGGUGAAAAGCACCCCGGAAGGGGAGUGAAAUAGAACCUGAAACCGUGUGCUUACAAGUAGUCAGAGCCCGUUAAUGGGUGAUGGCGUGCCUUUUGUAGAAUGAACCGGCGAGUUACGAUCUGAUGCAAGGUUAAGCAGCAAAUGUGGAGCCGCAGCGAAAGCGAGUCUGAAUAGGGCGUUGAGUAUUUGGUCGUAGACCCGAAACCAGGUGAUCUACCCUUGGUCAGGUUGAAGUUCAGGUAACACUGAAUGGAGGACCGAACCGACUUACGUUGAAAAGUGAGCGGAUGAACUGAGGGUAGCGGAGAAAUUCCAAUCGAACCUGGAGAUAGCUGGUUCUCUCCGAAAUAGCUUUAGGGCUAGCCUCAAGUGAUGAUUAUUGGAGGUAGAGCACUGUUUGGACGAGGGGCCCCUCUCGGGUUACCGAAUUCAGACAAACUCCGAAUGCCAAUUAAUUUAACUUGGGAGUCAGAACAUGGGUGAUAAGGUCCGUGUUCGAAAGGGAAACAGCCCAGACCACCAGCUAAGGUCCCAAAAUAUAUGUUAAGUGGAAAAGGAUGUGGCGUUGCCCAGACAACUAGGAUGUUGGCUUAGAAGCAGCCAUCAUUUAAAGAGUGCGUAAUAGCUCACUAGUCGAGUGACACUGCGCCGAAAAUGUACCGGGGCUAAACAUAUUACCGAAGCUGUGGAUUGUCCUUUGGACAAUGGUAGGAGAGCGUUCUAAGGGCGUUGAAGCAUGAUCGUAAGGACAUGUGGAGCGCUUAGAAGUGAGAAUGCCGGUGUGAGUAGCGAAAGACGGGUGAGAAUCCCGUCCACCGAUUGACUAAGGUUUCCAGAGGAAGGCUCGUCCGCUCUGGGUUAGUCGGGUCCUAAGCUGAGGCCGACAGGCGUAGGCGAUGGAUAACAGGUUGAUAUUCCUGUACCACCUAUAAUCGUUUUAAUCGAUGGGGGGACGCAGUAGGAUAGGCGAAGCGUGCGAUUGGAUUGCACGUCUAAGCAGUAAGGCUGAGUAUUAGGCAAAUCCGGUACUCGUUAAGGCUGAGCUGUGAUGGGGAGAAGACAUUGUGUCUUCGAGUCGUUGAUUUCACACUGCCGAGAAAAGCCUCUAGAUAGAAAAUAGGUGCCCGUACCGCAAACCGACACAGGUAGUCAAGAUGAGAAUUCUAAGGUGAGCGAGCGAACUCUCGUUAAGGAACUCGGCAAAAUGACCCCGUAACUUCGGGAGAAGGGGUGCUCUUUAGGGUUAACGCCCAGAAGAGCCGCAGUGAAUAGGCCCAAGCGACUGUUUAUCAAAAACACAGGUCUCUGCUAAACCGUAAGGUGAUGUAUAGGGGCUGACGCCUGCCCGGUGCUGGAAGGUUAAGAGGAGUGGUUAGCUUCUGCGAAGCUACGAAUCGAAGCCCCAGUAAACGGCGGCCGUAACUAUAACGGUCCUAAGGUAGCGAAAUUCCUUGUCGGGUAAGUUCCGACCCGCACGAAAGGCGUAACGAUUUGGGCACUGUCUCAACGAGAGACUCGGUGAAAUCAUAGUACCUGUGAAGAUGCAGGUUACCCGCGACAGGACGGAAAGACCCCGUGGAGCUUUACUGUAGCCUGAUAUUGAAAUUCGGCACAGCUUGUACAGGAUAGGUAGGAGCCUUUGAAACGUGAGCGCUAGCUUACGUGGAGGCGCUGGUGGGAUACUACCCUAGCUGUGUUGGCUUUCUAACCCGCACCACUUAUCGUGGUGGGAGACAGUGUCAGGCGGGCAGUUUGACUGGGGCGGUCGCCUCCUAAAAGGUAACGGAGGCGCUCAAAGGUUCCCUCAGAAUGGUUGGAAAUCAUUCAUAGAGUGUAAAGGCAUAAGGGAGCUUGACUGCGAGACCUACAAGUCGAGCAGGGUCGAAAGACGGACUUAGUGAUCCGGUGGUUCCGCAUGGAAGGGCCAUCGCUCAACGGAUAAAAGCUACCCCGGGGAUAACAGGCUUAUCUCCCCCAAGAGUUCACAUCGACGGGGAGGUUUGGCACCUCGAUGUCGGCUCAUCGCAUCCUGGGGCUGUAGUCGGUCCCAAGGGUUGGGCUGUUCGCCCAUUAAAGCGGUACGCGAGCUGGGUUCAGAACGUCGUGAGACAGUUCGGUCCCUAUCCGUCGUGGGCGUAGGAAAUUUGAGAGGAGCUGUCCUUAGUACGAGAGGACCGGGAUGGACAUACCUCUGGUGUACCAGUUGUCGUGCCAACGGCAUAGCUGGGUAGCUAUGUGUGGACGGGAUAAGUGCUGAAAGCAUCUAAGCAUGAAGCCCCCCUCAAGAUGAGAUUUCCCAACUUCGGUUAUAAGAUCCCUCAAAGAUGAUGAGGUUAAUAGGUUCGAGGUGGAAGCAUGGUGACAUGUGGAGCUGACGAAUACUAAUCGAUCGAAGACUUAAUCAA
rnacentral:rRNA from 1 species